AUCUCAUAUGCCAAGAGUUCUGAAUUUAUCCCUGAAGGGUACACUGUGGUUAGUACACUAUGUGCUUAAUGAGUCUCCAGGGAUAAAACUUGACUCUGAACUCCUUCAAAUAUGAACUGUCACUAUUUUCCCAAUGUUAUUCAGAGUGUAAUCUCUUUUCAGCUGUAGAAAUGGGAUUCUUUCCUUGUGUACUCAUGAUAAUCAGAUACUAAAACAUCCAAGUUGCACCUGCUGGCUCCAGAUGUCCACAUCUUGAUCAUCCAACACUUGCG